rnacentral:lncRNA from 10 species
GAUAAACGCAGCUCGGAGGCCUCUGUGCUGCAGUGAUAUGCACAUUAUUUAGCAGCAUUCCAAUGAUUUGCUUGUAAUAUGGACCAGAGGGCCCAGAAAAAAAUGAUUUCCACAGGAUGUCAUGAAUCCAAACUUCAAUUAUUGGAUCCAAUCAGUGGAUUAAGUGCACCCCCUUUCAGAACUGAACCUUCAGGUUGUAAACUAAGUUUAUGAAAGGACAUCCCCAGGUCUCACCCCACCCUUGUUCUGGACCUAUUAACUUUUUUUCUGUUUGUUUGUUUUUUG